GCUUAAGGCGUAUUUUCUGGGAGGAGCGGUGGGUUGCGGCGGCGAUUAUCUGCCAUGCGUUCGGUGCGGCCGACAGUCAGACGGCCGAUGGUGGUGCGAGCAGCUGCAGGUUCAUUUGCUAGUUCGUUUGACGGAGCAAGAGAGUAUCGUUUUACAAUUUUCGGACCGCUUGGUAGCAGAUCCGGACGAGGCGCGCCGCGGAGGAUCCCAGGGAAUAACGUUCUGGAUCUUUGUCGGCCUCGUCGCUUUUUUAGAGGCGGCGAUUGAGGUUCGACGCACGAUAAGGGGGCGCCGAUGACCUCUAUCAAUGUAAGUCGCGUGGGUUGAUGGUUAGGGAGUAGUUAAUGGCCGUGGAUAGGCGGCGCGGCGAACCGCGGUGGUUCUAGGAAAAGACGGUAUUUUCUUUGCGGUUCUCGCCGGCUUCUGUGUAAAUUCAACGGCGGCGGCGGACUCCGCUUAGGCGUCGUGUUGUCUUCCCAGGCGAGGGCGGACUCUGCUUAGACCCUGGAACCGAUCUGCUAUUAAAUUCGCCGGUCAUUCACAGCGGAGGUGAGCCGUCGAUCGUGGGAUUUGGAGGAGGUUGCCUCUUGCCCCGACUCGUUGCGGCAGUAUUCAUGCCCUGUUUUCAGAAAAAGAGGGAGAAAAUCCAGGGGAGCUAUUGUCGUAGGUUGAGGAAGAGUUUGUCGACGGAGGCGGUCGUGGCCCAAGCGGGAACGUCCAUCGAGAACUGGAGAAUGGUUGUGGAAUUUUUUGGCGUUUUUGGAGCUUUCAUAUUUUUUUUAUUUUUUAUUUUUAUUUUCUAUUUUAUUUUUUGUUGGGCUAGUAUGGCUGUUGCUUGAGCAUGUGUUUGCCUGGUAGGGUUGGGAGCUGCCCAACUCAUUUUGAAGGCUCCAGUUGAUGUGUGGAUGAUGUUUGGCUGGUUUGGCUGGGAGGGGUUGCUGCCCGGAUGAUGUUUGGUUCCUUCUCGAGGCGCGGAGGCGCGGCAACAAGGCUGGAUGGCUUGUUGGCCUCCUUUUGAUCGUACAACAAGAUUGGAUGGUUGCAGGCAGCCCAUCUUUUGGAGAAGAAUGGCGUGUUGUCAAUCUUAGCAGGCUGGUAGCAUAGCUGUUUUACUGUUGUUGUCCUUACUAGUGUAAUGUUUGGCUGACAUGCCUAUUAGUUUGUGUGGCUAGGUGAUUUAGGUAGAUGUGCAGUCCAUUCAUAUUGUACUUUGAUGUAAGUGUGAAAUGUUGAGCUAGUGAUAAUGCUGUCAG
rnacentral:lncRNA from 1 species